AAAUUGAAGAGUUUGAUCAUGGCUCAGAUUGAACGCUGGCGGCAGGCCUAACACAUGCAAGUCGAACGGUAACAGGAAGCAGCUUGCUGCUUUGCUGACGAGUGGCGGACGGGUGAGUAAUGUCUGGGAAACUGCCUGAUGGAGGGGGAUAACUACUGGAAACGGUAGCUAAUACCGCAUAACGUCGCAAGACCAAAGAGGGGGACCUUCGGGCCUCUUGCCAUCGGAUGUGCCCAGAUGGGAUUAGCUUGUUGGUGGGGUAACGGCUCACCAAGGCGACGAUCCCUAGCUGGU
rnacentral:rRNA from 1 species